rnacentral:misc_RNA from 1 species
GUGAAAAAAAAAAAAAAAAGAGUCUUGACGAAGGAAAAGACGGUUCAAUAAGCUCCGGGUGCCACUAGUCAUAUCCCGGGAUUACGGUGGUUGUGACGGUGGCGGUGACAGUCUGACAGAGGCGCCGAUGGUAGGCAAAUGAACGCUGUCUCUCACGAGAGCAGCGGAGCAGACACCUGUAUCCUAAUCCUAUAGCUAUUGCUAUAUAACAGUGUCAAGGGCUUCAACUCUUCUCAUCUAUUCCAGUGAAUGCCAACAUAAACACCAUGAAGAAAAGAGCAUCGAUCUUGAGAAGUGAUAUGAAUUCCAUUGUAACAAAGAAUAAGAAGAAGAAGAAAUUAGUUCCAGUACAUCAUGUGGACGACGACCUCUUCACCAGGAAGGAAGAAAUUAGAGAUGACUCUUAUUCAACUGAAGAUGAAAAUGAUGAACAGGCGGCUGCUUCAAGUAGAAAUAUAAGCCACGGAUACCAUAAGGUGAGAGGAAAAAUGGAACAUGGGAUGGAAGAUUAUGUGGUGGCAGAAAAUAGAAAAAUCAAUGGCCAUCACUUAGGUUUAUAUGCAAUUUUUGAUAGCCACUCUGGUCGUCAUGUUGCAAAAUACUUGCAAUCCCAUCUAUUUGAUAACAUAUUGAGCGAGGUAUGGAAAGAAUUCUGGCAUUCACCAUCCUUUCUGAAAAUCUUUACGCAGGCAUUUGACCGCGGGAGUUUUAGACUCAUGGUUUGUUUCUUUGAUCUCAUGCUCAUUCCGAAUUCUGGAAGAACCCAAAAAGGGCAAUCAAGAAAGCAUACAAGGUUACUGACGACGAGAUUCUGGAUAAUAUAGUUGGUUCUCGAGGAGGCUCAACGGCAGUCACUGCAAUUCUGAUCGACCAAAGAAGGCUAAUUGUGGCCCAUGUUGGCGAUUCCCGGGCAGUCUUGUGUAGAAACGAUGUAGCAAAGCCACUAUCAGUAGAUCAUGAACCCGAGAAGGCGAGAGAACUUGUUGAGAGCAAGGGUGGUUUUGUAUCCAAAAUGCCAGGUAGAGGUUUAUAUAGUGUUCGUGUUUAGUUCAAACAUUCAGGUUAUUGCAUAAAUAUAUGGUGGUCUAAUCCUUUCCUGAUCAAAUCAGGAAAUGUUCCUCGAGUUGAUGGGCAGUUAGCAACGACAAGGGCAUUUGGAGAUGGGAAGCUGAAGGAACAUAUCACUUCUGAACCUGAUUUGACAA